rnacentral:lncRNA from 1 species
AACACGCAGUGGGGAAGAGACCUGCCGUAUCCUCAUAAGGCUCUGAGUUCAAACCUUAGCCUCGGCAUGGUGCUCUACCCAACUUUUUCUUUUUUUAGUACUUGGAAAACAUUAACAUCUAUAAUAAAUCCAAAAAUCUCAUCCAUUAUUCUCUAAGAGACCAACAUACAAAAUUGACGAAACACAAAGUCACGGUCUCACAACAUGUAAUUAAACGGGCUACACGUGUUUCGCUCUAGUUAGAGCAUCAUCAGGCCUUUAGAAGCCAUCCACACACUUAUGCUGUAACUGAUGAUGCUCUAACUAGAGCGAAACACGUGUAGCCCGUUUAAUUACAUGUUGUGAGACCGUGACUUUGUGUUUUUCUUUGUUUUUCGUCAAUCUAUAGUAAAUACAGAGAGAAAAGGAAAGGUCUUAUUAUAUAUUAUAAUCAAAAAUAAAUUUCAUUGAAAUAUUACUAACUUAUUUCUGGGUAUCAUGCUUCAGAGAACCAUGAUGUGUUACAAUACGCUCCGCUCUUUAAUUUUAGUUUAGUAGAAAAUAUUCUCAAAACCUACAUAUAUCAAAAUUAUGUCAGGGUUCUAAAAUGAAUCGGUAAUAAAAUCGUAAACCAGAUCAACAUUGGAAAUAAUUUAAAAAAUUUGCUUUGGUCCGAUUGAAAAAAGUACUAUACUACCAAAUAGUUACAUCUAUUCUGUAGCAAUAAAAGUUAUAAAAUUCUGUCUAUUAUUAAUUUUAAUAUUAUAAAGUGUAUCGUUUAACUCUUAGCCAUUAUUUAUAAUUUAAUUGUUAAUUAUGCCUAAAAAAACGAAUUAACAAUUUUGGUAUUGUUUGGAAGGUAAACAGCUUAAUUCCUUUAUGUAAAGCCACCUUAACAUGUUUUUGCAUAAUUCUGACUCACGUUGGUUGCUAUCGGGCUUAAGCCAUAAAAAUCGAAGAAAAAAAGAAGAAGACGAAGAGACUUUCACUUGUCAUUUCAAUGUCACUUUCCGGCCCACAAGCAUAAACGCCACCGGCAACGGAAGUUCCCAAAAUCCAAACAAAUGUUGGAAGAUAUUUUUAAGUCUCCGCAUCUUUCUUACUUUCCUAUAUGAAAAUAAAAUGUAAGUAUCACAAUUACACACAUACAAGUUUUUUUUUUUAAUUCAGUUUCAUAAUUACCAAUUUUUAGUGAAUAAUCCUGAAAUUUAUGAAAAUACAUACAUUUUAAGGUUAUGUCAUAAUGUUUUGAUUGUUAUAUUUGAUUUUGUUUUUGUUAUUUUAGUGGACUACACCAACAAAGGUUAUGUGUUUUGCACCAGAUUGAAAGCAUCAUAGCGAAAAACGGACCUGUCAUAUCUUUAAAUUUUCAAAAGAGCCCCUGGAAAAAGAAAAAUGAAUAUCUUUGCCAAGGAAUAGGUACUAAGGCAAAUGGAUAAAAAACCUUCAGUCCAUGCAUUGGUAUGUAAUUGUUGACAAAAAUACAAUGAAUGGCCUCACUACUUUUCCACAUGCAAAGAGGUUAACCAAGGAGAAAUUAAAGAAAUUGUCAAAAACCUAGGUAAAUACAGAAUUGCUUAGUACAAACAUAUCUAUACCCAGUACAAGUUCGUCCACUUCUUUGAAGCAUGGUACUUCAAACAGAAACACUGUCAACAAUUUUGUAGAAGGUGAGCCGGUGUCAAAUUCCAGUAAGGGACAUGAUUUCAAUUUUGCACCAACAGCAGAGCUAAAAUUCAUUUUGCCGCAAAAAACUGGAGGAUGUGAAAGAAAAAAGUGCAGAAGUUAAAAUUAAGUUUUUCAUAUGAGCACAUAAAAAAUAAUCAUGACAAAGUUCAGUUGUAUACAGGUUUGACAUGUAAUAAAUAUUUUUGUAAUCUUAUUAAGUUAAUUAGUUUUAUAUAUUAUUUAAAUAAUAAUUGAAUACUUCACAUAGAAUAUGCAGAAAUUAUAUGUACAUAUAUAAAUUUUUUUAUUAAGAUAAGGACAACAUGUAUUAAAGCAUAACACAUAAUAUAAACACACACGUAAUAUCUUCAUUAAAAAUUAUGAUUGUAUGUUAUGUAGCAUUAGAGCCUAAAAACAUUAAGGAGAAUAAAGGUCGUUAUUGGCAAA